rnacentral:rRNA from 1 species
CCUGGCUCAGGAUGAACGCUGGCGGCGUGCCUAACACAUGCAAGUCGAACGAAGCAUCCCGCCCGAAGAAGAGGAGAGCUUGCUCAAAUCGGACUCAAUUGGGAUGACUUAGUGGCGGACGGGUGAGUAACGCGUGGGUAACCUGCCGUAUACAGGGGGAUAACAGUUAGAAAUGACUGCUAAUACCGCAUAAGCGCACAGAACCGCAUGGUACAGUGUGAAAAGCCGAGACGGUAUACGAUGGACUCGCGUCUGAUUAGCCAGUUGGCAGGGUAACGGCCUACCAAAGCAACGAUCAGUAGCCGGCCUGAGAGGGUGAACGGCCACAUUGGGACUGAGACACGGCCCAAACUCCUACGGGAGGCAGCAGUGGGGGAUAUUGCACAAUGGGGGAAACCCUGAUGCAGCGACGCCGCGUGAGUGAAGAAGUAUUUCGGUAUGUAAAGCUCUAUCAGCAGGGAAGAAAAUGACGGUACCUGACUAAGAAGCUCCGGCUAAAUACGUGCCAGCCGCCGC